rnacentral:rRNA from 1 species
GACGAACGCUGGCGGCGUGCCUAAUACAUGCAAGUCGAACGCAGUGGGGACGGGUGAGUAACACGUGGGUAACCUCCCAUCAGAGGGGAUAACACUUGGAAACUGGUGCUAAACCGAUACUGAUGGAUGUACCCGCGGUGCAUUAGCUAGUUGGGGAGGUAACGGCGCACCAAGGCCACGAUGCGUAGCCGGCCUGAGAGGGUGAUCGGCCACAUUGGGACUGAGACACGGCCCAGACUCCUACGGGAGGCAGCAGUGGGGAAUCUUGGGCAAUGGACGAAAGUCUGACCGAGCGACGCCGCGUGAGUGAAGAAGGUUUUCGGAUCGUAAAACUCUGUUGGUAGAGAAGCGGUAUCUAAAGAGAAAGCAACGGCUAACUACGUGCCAGCCGCCGCGGUAAUAC